rnacentral:rRNA from 1 species
AUUGAACGCUGGCGGCAGGCUUAACACAUGCAAGUCGAGCGGAGAUGAGGUGCUUGCACCUUAUCUUAGCGGCGGACGGGUGAGUAAUGCUUAGGAAUCUGCCUAUUAGUGGGGGACAACAUUCCGAAAGGAAUGCUAAUACCGCAUACGCCCUACGGGGGAAAGCAGGGGAUCUUCGGACCUUGCGCUAAUAGAUGAGCCUAAGUCGGAUUAGCUAGUUGGUGGGGUAAAGGCCUACCAAGGCGACGAUCUGUAGCGGGUCUGAGAGGAUGAUCCGCCACACUGGGACUGAGACACGGCCCAGACUCCUACGGGAGGCAGCAGUGGGGAAUAUUGGACAAUGGGCGGAAGCCUGAUCCAGCCAUGCCGCGUGUGUGAAGAAGGCCUUUUGGUUGCAAAGCACUUUAAGCGAGGAGGAGGCUACUGAGACUAAUACUCUUGGAUAGUGGACGUUACUCGCAGAAUAAGCACCGGCUAACUCUGUGCCAGCCGCCGCCGUAACAC